GAUGAACGCUGGCGGCGUGCCUAAUACAUGCAAGUCGAGCGAACAGACGAGGAGCUUGCUCCUCUGACGUUAGCGGCGGACGGGUGAGUAACACGUGGAUAACCUACCUAUAAGACUGGGAUAACUUCGGGAAACCGGAGCUAAUACCGGAUAAUAUAUUGAACCGCAUGGAUCAAUAGUGAAAGACGGUUUUGCUGUCACUUAUAGAUGGAUCCGCGCCGCAUUAGCUAGUUGGUAAGGUAACGGCUUACCAAGGCAACGAUGCGUAGCCGACCUGAGAGGGUGAUCGGCCACACUGGAACUGAGACACGGUCCAGACUCCUACGGGAGGCAGCAGUAGGGAAUCUUGCGCAAUGGGCGAAAGCCUGACGGAGCAACGCCGCGUGAGUGAUGAAGGUCUUCGGAUUGUAAAACUCUGUUAUUAGGGAAGAACAAAUGUGUAAGUAACUAUGGACGUCUUGACGGUACCUAAUCAGAAAGCAACGGCUAACUACGUG
rnacentral:rRNA from 1 species